rnacentral:rRNA from 1 species
AUUGAACGCUGGCGGCAUGCCUAACACAUGCAAGUCGAACGGUAACAGGUCUUCGGAUGCUGACGAGUGGCGAACGGGUGAGUAAUACAUCGGAACGUGCCUAGUAGUGGGGGAUAACUACUCGAAAGAGUGGCUAAUACCGCAUGAGAUCUACGGAUGAAAGCAGGGGAUCGCAAGACCUUGUGCUACUAGAGCGGCCGAUGGCAGAUUAGGUAGUUGGUGGGCUAAAAGCUUACCAAGCCGACGAUCUGUAGCUGGUCUGAGAGGAUGACCAGCCACACUGGGACUGAGACACGGCCCAGACUCCUACGGGAGGCAGCAGUGGGGAAUUUUGGACAAUGGGCGAAAGCCUGAUCCAGCAAUGCCGCGUGCAGGAUGAAGGCCUUCGGGUUGUAAACUGCUUUUGUACGGAACGAAAAGCCCCGGGUUAAUACCCUGGGGUCAUGACGGUACCGUAAGAAUAAGCACCGGCUAACUACGUGCCAGCCGCCGCAGUAA